UGGAGAAUUUUGCACAAUGGGGGAAACCCUGAUGCAGCGACGCCGCGUGAUUUAGAAGGCCUUCGGGUUGUAAAAAUCUUUUUUAUGGGAUGAAAAUGACAGUACCAUAAGAAUAAGGUCCGGCUAAAUACGUGCCAGCAGCCGCGGUAAUACGUAUGGACCGAGCGUUGUCCGGAAUCAUUGGGCGUAAAGGGUACGUAGGCGGCCCAGUAAGUUAGAAGUGAAAUAAUAUAGCUCAACUAUAUAAAGCUUUUAAAACUGCUAGGCUUGAGAGAUGGAAGGGAAAGUGGAAUUCCUAGUGUAGCGGUGAAAUGCGCAGAUAUUAGGAAGAAUACCGGUGGCGAAGGCGACUUUCUGGUCAUCAUCUGACGCUGAGGUACGAAAGCGUGGGUAGCAAACAGG
rnacentral:rRNA from 1 species